UAUACUAAACACAUUAUCAUCUCAUUUUCUAUUUUGCCUCAGCAUGGGAAUGUUUUAUAAUCUGCAAACAACUUUUCGUUGUUGUCUACAGAUAACAUGGGAAAAUCUAUUAUUUCUUUCAGGCUUGACGUGUUUGAGAUGCUCAGAUAUCACAGAACCCAGAUUGUGUAAUAAGAUCGAACACUGUAAUGAAGGAGAGGUAAAAUUAAACAGUUAAAAGUAAUCCUAACAUUGGUUUGUGAUGUUUAGGAGGUUCACUGAUUUGACAUUUAUUCGGACAGGUGUGCGCAGUACAGCAGUAUCGAGCAGGUAAUGGAGAUGUUGGCUAUUGGACAGGAUGUUAUCCACUAAAGGUUGGUCUCCAAACCGAUUAAAAGACUAUUUAAAUCCUAAUGACAUUGAACAAAGUCUUCUGGUUUGAAAUAUUAUCCGCUUGACGUUCAAUCUAGCGUUAACAGCUACAGUGACAAGGGAUUUGGUUUUUAUGCCACAAAAUCGCCUGUUAUUUCACCUUUUAAAAAUUCUGAGCAUUUGGUGAAGAAAGUUUCACAUACUCUUUGGUUUUCUUUGCUUCUUAAAAAUUCUCACAGUGUGAUCCUAGCAAGAUUCGAACUUCUGAAAACGGUGCAAACCAUCCACCGUCUGCCGUAGUCAUCACAGCAUUUGAUGUAAUGUAAGAUCUUUAGUAUACAUUUGAUGUAUUGUAACAUCUUUAGUAUUCAUAUUUUGAAUGCAUGGAUACAUUGUUUUAUCAACAAAGGUACCAAGCAUCAAACAGGAAGAGGAAAAUAUCCCACAAAGAUUCUGUUAUUAUUUCGACAUCCGAACAUUACUAGAAGUUUCUAAAGAAUGUGCUGCUGUAGACAAUAGAACCGUUAUAACCACCAAACGGAGUCAGUAUAUUGACGGCGUUGUACAGUGUAGGGACUGCUGUACCACAGAUAUAUGUAACGCCUACGGAUGCGGAACUCCUAAGUACCCCGAUACUCGAGGCCCUAUCUGCUUUGACUGUGAGGAUGUUGCGGAUCCAACGGACUGUCAUACCAUCACUCCGUGUGACCUCAAUCAGGUAUGUCUUGAUACAACUUAUUAGUCCCCUAUCGACGGAGUCGAAGGGGACAUCAGAAAUGCAUGAUACACGAGAGGACUGCCUUUGGGCAAAAGUAUUUCACUUCCAAGUGUGAAUCUGUUAUGGCAUGUUUUGUACAUUUUACUGGACCGGUCGUCGGCAGGAAGCGAGAUCUAAACGGGGUGUGUCUUCACUGCUGUGACGGGGAUCUCUGUAAUACUAACUGUUCUUCAGCAUCUAGCGCCACAAUCAACAAACCCAAUGUCCCAG